UACAAAGGUUGCUAGCGUUGCUCGGAAUCACUGGGCGUAAAGGGUGCGUAGGCGGGUCUUUAAGUCAGGGGUGAAAUCCUGGAGCUCAACUCCAGAACUGCCUUUGAUACUGAGGAUCUUGAGUUCGGGAGAGGUGAGUGGAACUGCGAGUGUAGAGGUGAAAUUCGUAGAUAUUCGCAAGAACACCAGUGGCGAAGGCGGCUCACUGGACCGAUACUGACGCUGAGGCACGAAAGCGUGGGGAGCAAACAGG
rnacentral:rRNA from 1 species